rfam:Hordeum vulgare subsp. vulgare, WGS project CAJW01000000 data, contig: morex_contig_48867
GAAAUACUCCCUCCGUCCCAAAAUUCUUGUCUUAAGUUUGUCUAAAAAUGGAUGUAUGUAAAUACUAAAACGUGACUAGAUACAUUCAUAUGUAGACAAAUUUAAGAGAAGAGUUUUGGGACGGAGGGAGUAUAUU